rnacentral:rRNA from 1 species
UAAGGAAUAUUGCUCAAUGGGAGAAAUCCUGAAGCAGCAACGCCGCGUGGAGGAUGAAGGGUCUAUGACUUGUAAACUCCUGUAAAGAAGGAAAGAAUUCCCAUUAGAUGGGAGAUGAUGGUACUUCUGGAGUAAGCCCCGGCUAACUACGUGCCAGCAGCCGCGGUAAUACGUAGGGGGCAAGCGUUGUCCGGAUUUACUGGGUGUAAAGGGUGCUCAGGCGGAUUUGUAAGUCAGAGGUGAAAUCUUACAGCUUAACUGUGAAACUACCUUUGAUACUGCAAGCCUAGAGUAUGGAAGAGAGUGAUGGAAUAUCUGGUGUAGCAGUGAAAUGCGUAGAUAUCAGAUAGAACACCAAUGGCGAAGGCAGUCACUUGGUCCAUUACUGACGCUAAAGCACGAAAGCGUGGGUAGCAAACA